GGAAAGUCUGGUGGCUGACAAGUAAACCAACAGUUAUGUUCUUCAGAGAGGAGAUCUCAGAUUCUCUAAGCAAAAGAAACUAAUAGCUGUAUGACAACAGCCAAAGAGUAAAUAUCCUUUCAAGUCCAAUCCUGCCUAAGAUGUCAAAAUCAAGAAUGAAGAGGUUAUGUGCUGAAACAGAAUGACCUUCACGAGAUGCAGCCUCUGGAUCUUGGACUUCCCCAGCCUCCAGAACUGUAAGCCAAAUGAAUCUCUUUGUUUAUAAAUUACCCAGUGUGUGGUAUUCUUA
rnacentral:lncRNA from 1 species